CCUACGGGUGGCAGCAGUGAGGGAUAUUGGUCAAUGGACGCAAGUCUGAACCAGCCAUGCCGCGUGCAGGAAGACGGCUCUAUGAGGUGUAAACUGCUCUUGUACGAGGGUAAAUCCAGAUCCGUGUAACGGGGUGAAAGUAAAGUACGAAUAAGGAUCGGCUAAAUCCGGGACAGCAGACGCGGUAAUACGGAGUAGUGAAGCUGUAGCCGGAGUUAAUGGGUUUAAAGGGUGCGUAGGCGGUGCGAUACGUUAGAGGUGAAAUCCCGGGGCUCAACUCCGGCACUGCCUCUGAUACCGUCGGGCUAGAGUUUAGUUGCGGUAGGCGGAAUGUAUGGUGUAGCGGUGAAAUGCAUAGAGAUCAUACAGAACACCGAUUGCGAAGGCAGCUUACCAAACUACGACUGACGUUGAGGCACGAAAGCGUGGGGAGCAAACAGGAUUAGAUACCCCUGUAGUC
rnacentral:rRNA from 1 species